AGCGAGUUCAGCUUUUUUAUGCCUCUCAAAGAACAAAAAUACUUGCUUCCAAAUUCUUAACGUGCCUUCUCUGUCUUCUUUUUAAAAAUGUGUAUAGAGUGUCUUUUUUUAUUUUUUUUUAUUUUUUUUACAAAAAAAGCCUGCCCUUUCAACCUUAAAACUAGGUGGAGGAAGGAACUGAUUUUCAGAUAAUUAUAAUGCUAUGGACAGCCCCUGUGACUAUAGAUAAACAAACUUAGGGUUUUUCCUCAAGACUUAGGAAAUGAGGUCUGUUCAUACAUGACUCACAGUGGGUCCAUAUUUUUUGCUGUUGUGGUGUGCCUUCAGGUAGUUAACUUAUGGUGCCCUUAAGGCAAAUGUAUUAUGGAUUUUUCUUGGCAAGAUUUGUUCAGAGGAGGUUUGCCUUUGCAUUCUGAGACUGAGGGAAUGUGAUUUUCCCAAGGGCAAGCAGGUCUCCAGAAUUGUAAUCUAAGGCUCAAAUCACUACAUCACAUUGGCGCUUGGGUCCAUAUUUACAACACCGGAAAUGAGAGGACUUCCUCCAUUUAUGGAGGAAAGUGGGAUCCACCAGAAAUUCCCCUUAGAAGAAAGAGAUGAUGCAUCAAUCUUGACCAUUGCUUCCUAACCCUGGAUCCACCAGUGCCUCUGUCCUAUAAUGUUUGGGAGGACAUCUAAACCUUCUUAAUUGGUCCUGCAGGCUAGAAGAGUUAGGGGAAGGCACCACUUUCUCAAUUCAUCUAGCAUCAAGGAACUCCACACAGCUCAAAUAAUUUCUCAUUCAAUAUGUAUAUCAGGAUGUAACACCAGUAUACCAAGAGUUAGAUUUUGGCAUAUGAUCAAACCUUCUUUUUCUUAACUGUCAGAAUCAUAACUUUCUCUCCUCUGGAAGACCACAAUAUCUUGUAAAGUAUCCUAAUAUAGAAAAAGACUUGUUCCAAUGCAACAAAAAUAUUGGCCAAUCAUCACCAUUGAUAAACUAAUGGCCGGUAUAAAGGUAUCAGGUAUUACAGAAUAUGCAUUGUUCAUUUACAACAAUAAGACAGUCAAAGACUUCAUUUCCAUAGGGAUAGCAGCAAUAAUACAGUCUAGAAAUGAAAGAAAGAAGAAAACACAUUUACAUGCAGUAAACAUUUUUAUGAAUGCAAUUCAGAAUUAAAGGAAGAGAUGAAAAUUACAAAGAGUAUUUCAAAAUUGCUUUCUUUAACAAGUGCCUCUAUAGUUAUGUUUCUUAGAGAUUCAGAUUAAACAUUAUACACUGGUAGAACAUUUUAUUGUCCAAGCCUCAACAAUAAUGUUAGCCCUAGAGAUUCCAUAUUUCCUCAUAAACAUCCAAUUUAUAAACACAUUUCUCUGUCAGAUACAAUAUUGUCAACAAUAUUUAAGUAAAUACUCUGAAGAGCCAUGAGAAGUUGAAAACAUAUGAGUCAUUCAAAGGCACCAAACCUUAGAUUUAACAGAGGGAUUUUCUGCUUAUGUGCAGCUCCUGAUGCUAAGGGUGAGAAAAUAUUUUGAACAGCGAGCAAAGCAAUAUGAGACUAAAAAUUCAGAAGAAUAAAAUCCCAUAGCAAAAUUGAAAAAAAUGACAAUGUGGGCACCAGGUAAGCCUCUCAUAUUAUGUGUCUGAGAAGACCAUCUUCUGGAAAAUGCAUGAAAAAAAUGAGUUCAAAUGUCCACCUGGCAAAUAUGGAAAUUGCAUAUCUGGGCAUAUACAUUGUGUAUAUUUUCUAAGGCUGGCAGACUUCUGAGAAGGGGAAGCAGAUAUCACGCUCAGAGCCGGCCCUAGGUAUUUUUCAAGUGUAGGCGAACAGAAUUUUGCCCCCCCCCCAAACCAAUCACUGAAAAAUAAAAGCGUUGGAUAAGUGAAAAUGUUUGAUAAUAAGGAGGGAUUAAGGAAAAGCCUAUUAAACAUCAAAUUACAUUAAGAUUUUACAAAUUAAGCACUAAAACAUAAUGUUUUACAACAUAUCAACAGAAAAAGCAGUUCAAUACCUUGCGGAGGCAGGCCGCAGGAGACAGGAGUUGCCUUGAUGGCGCCCCCAACAAGAUGGCGCCACAGGCAACUGCCUAGAUGGCCUGGUGGUUGAACUGCCUCUGCUUAUGCUCUCCUU
rnacentral:lncRNA from 1 species